AGAACUACUGUCAAGAGCCAGGAACAAAAUCUGUAAGCACCUUCCAAGUCUACAAAAUGUCUUUUCCCAAAUGUGGUUCUCCAGCUGUUUCUGGAGACCCAAGUUUGGGAAAUGCUGCUUUUUAGAGGUUGAGGUGUUCGAUGCUCUCCCAGCUUCUGCAGUUUAUACGACAUAAAUUUGUGAGGACUUUUGUGAAGCUAGGAAAGGAUUAUAAGGAAAGUCUUAUGCACCAGUGGACAUGCACAUAUCGGACACUCAGCGAGGCCCAUUAUAGUUGCAAAGUUCUGACCUUCUGCUUCUGCUUCUAGAAGGGGGAGGCAGGACAUUUGGGUGAUUCAGCAGGAAUGUCCUUUGCACAGCUUCUCCCAACCUGGUGCGCUCUAGAGGUUGUUGCGCUCAUAGCUCGAACCAUCUGUGCCCACUGGCCAUGCAGGCUAUGGCUGAUGGGAGUCCAAAACAUUUGAAGGUCACUUUCAGAAAUGUAAGUAUUAGUUGAGUAGUUGUGCUUAGUGCAAUAUUGACAGAGGCCUGCUUUGUGCACCACAGUAAGCCAGAGCAGGGCAUACCAUGACUCCAUGAACAUGCUGGUUGCCAGUGAGGAAGUGGCACUCGUUUUCCUCCUCCCUGGACUUCUUAGCUCACUGCAGGACACGCUUUGGCUCAGCGUGUCAUCCAAACCAGGGAUCAUGGUUAAGGUCUCUCAGUCGUGACCUGUAACCAUAGAUGGUUGUUAAGGAGGGAGGAACCUAACCAGGUUCAGGCAACAUGCUAAGCCAAUCCAUGGCUCCACUGCCAUUUUGCGCUGUCCUAAAAAGCACAGGGAGGAACAAAAAUGCCUAUGGCCUCCUCCUCGCGAGCCAUUGUUUUGGUGCUAAACCAUGGUUUGAACUGGGUGCGUGGUCAAUGUGAUAGCCUGUUACCACAUAAUGAAAGAUACGCUUUCUGCAAAUGGGUUUGUGCAUUCUGUUCCUCCUCCUUUAAAUAAAUUUAGGGGAGGUAUGUAUUACAGCUACGGAGAAUCGAAAAGCCCUGAAAUAUAACAGUGGCUAGAUAGUUAUCCACUGCUGGUCAUAUCUUGACAUAUCUAAAACUCUUGUUUAGGUUUACUGCAGUACUUUUUUAUUUUAACAAGUUUUUACUGGUGGUCUGAUAGCUUUCAAAUCACAGAACUUCCAUCCAUGGGAAACUCACUUGAUUCCCUCAUUAAAGGGAACCUCAGACAAUAGGUCAACACUCAGAGGCGUACCUAGGCAUUGGAGAGACUGACCGUCCUUCUCACAUCGCAGCACAAAGGUGUGCGUCCCCCCCCUUACCCUUAUACCAGACACUUUUUGAGACAGGUAGAAUGGAGCGAUUUCUAAUGUGGCAAUUGUGGUAACGUGAUUGGGGGCGCAUGCCGAUACAGCUUCUUGCCCAGGGAUCCUAGGGAUGCCAUUGUCGACGCUCCACUCCUUCAAGGCACAUUUGGGAUAAGAUUCAUUUAUUUCUAUAAUUUACACAUUGCCUUUCUGCUCUUAAUCUGCACAAGCAUCUAAAAUGCAAAACAGCACAGUAGCCGAACCACUGUCAUUCCUUUGAGAGCAGCAGCGAUUUAAAAAUGCACUGAGAGCCAGAACUAAAUAAGUAAAUGCCCACUGAACCAUUCUGGAAUCCUCUGCUCAAUCUGGAAAAAGUUGUUCCUCCUGUGUGUGUGUUUUGGUAAAACACUUAUAGAUAUCCAACUAUGGCGUGGUUCAAAACUCUUCUCAAGCUGCAAACCAGCGGCUUCAAAUGUCAUAUGAUAGGUCAUUUAGCUGUUGUUCUUAGGGUUAUGUUUUGUUUUCUGUAGUUCUUAUAAUGUUGCUGCUGUAUUGUUUUCAUAUAAUAUUAGUACUUCGUGAAUUUGGAAUAACGGGAAAGUGGAAUAAAAAUGAAUGUUGGCUCUG